rnacentral:lncRNA from 1 species
UAACGAGGGAUAGCGGACUUAACGUGGGGCCAAAUCAAUUUUUAAUUAAUAAAAGGGGUGCUAUUGGUGGACGGGGGAUUUAUCCCAUUUCUUGUUAGGGGCGCUAUUGGUUGAUGUUGGAUGAGGUGGCGCAUACGUGGUACUGAGUUGACACAAUGAAGCCCCUAGGGCUCGAAUCCAUACCCUGUAGCCUAAAUAAAGUCUCUAGAUUGAUCUAGCAACACAAACUUCUCAAAACAAUAUUAACAAGAUAAAGUAAUUGUUUAAAGAAAAAGAAAAAGAAAACCUUGUUUGUGGCCAGCGCCUUUAUCGACGGUAUGACACUGAGCGCACUUGGUUCUGAAAAUCUUUUCUCCGGCUUUAGCAUCGCCGGCCGAGUGUGGUAG